rnacentral:rRNA from 1 species
AACGAACGCUGGCGGCAGGCCUAACACAUGCAAGUCGAGCGGACCUUUCGGGGUCAGCGUCGGACGGGUGAGUAACGCGUGGGAAUAUGCCCUUCUCUACGGAAUAGUCCUGGGAAACUGGGGGUAAUACCGUAUACGCCCUUUGGGGGAAAGAUUUAUCGGGGAAGGAUUAGCCCGCGUUGGAUUAGGUAGUUGGUGGGGUAAUGGCCUACCAAGCCGACGAUCCAUAGCUGGUUUGAGAGGAUGAUCAGCCACACUGGGACUGAGACACGGCCCAGACUCCUACGGGAGGCAGCAGUGGGGAAUCUUAGACAAUGGGGGCAACCCUGAUCUAGCCAUGCCGCGUGAGUGAUGAAGGCCUUAGGGUUGUAAAGCUCUUUCAGCUGGGAAGAUAAUGACGGUACCAGCAGAAGAAGCCCCGGCUAACUCCGUG